rnacentral:rRNA from 1 species
AGUGAACGCUGGCGGUAGGCCUAACACAUGCAAGUCGAACGGCAGCACAGUAAGCGCUUGCUCUUACGGGUGGCGAGUGGCGGACGGGUGAGGAAUACAUCGGAAUCUACUUUUUCGUGGGGGAUAACGUAGGGAAAAUUACGCUAAUACCGCAUACGACCUACGGGUGAAAUCAGGGGAUCUUCGGACCUUGCGCGAAUGAAUGAGCCGAUGUCGGAUUAGCUAGUUGGCGGGGUAAAGGACCACCAAGGCGACGGUCCGUAGCUGGUCGGACUGGAUGAUCGGCCAAACGGGAACUGAGACACGGUCAAGACUCCAACGGAGGCCAGCGGUGGGGAAUAUUGGACAAUGGGCGCAAGCCUGAUCCAGCCAGACCGCGUGGGUGAAGAAGGCCUUCGGGUUGUAAAGCCCUUUUGUUGGGAAAGAAAAGCAGCAGGGUAAUACCCCGCUGUUCUGACGGUACCCAAAGAAAAAGCACCGGCUAACUUCGUG